AUGGAGAGAUGGGGACAGAAGGAGAAGAUAAAUAUGGAGGAGGGGCUAGUCAUGGUAGGGGAGGUUUUACUUUUAACCGCGAAGGCUCUCGAGCAUCUGCACAACAGAGGACUCAAAGAGGGGACCACCACACCAAUAGAGUCGACAACAACAGUAGCAGUGCAGGGGGGCCAUCGUGCUCAGGCAACGGACCACAGAGCUCCAUACAGAGGGAUGGAGGGAGAGAGAAGGACCAGAGAGAUGGAGGGAGAGAGAAGGACCAGAGAGAUGGAGGGAGAGAGAAGGACCAGAGAAAGAGAUGGAGAGGGCGGAGAAGACAGAGAGAUGGCGGAGAGCAGAUGGACCAGAGAGAUGGCAGGGAGAGAGACGUACCGGAAGGGAGAGGAGCAGGAGAGGAGAGAGAGAGGAGAGAUGGAGGGAGAGAGAAGGACCAGAGAGAUGAGGGGAGAGAGAAGGACCGAGAGAUGUGGAGGCGAGGAUGAGAGAGAGGACCAGAGAGAUGGAGGGGAGGAGAGGAAGGACCAGAGAGAUGGAGGGAGAGAGAAGGACAGAGAGAGAGGCCGAGGAGAGGUGAGAGAGAACAACCAGAGAGAUGGCGGGAGAAGAGACGAACCAGAGAGAUGGGGAGACGAGAACGACCCGGAGAUGGAGGGAGAUGAGAAACGACCCAGAGAGAUGGCGGGAGACAGAGACGAACGACCAGAGAGAUGGAGGGAGAGCAGAACGACCAGAAAAGAUGGAGGAGGGAACGGACCAGAGAGAUGGAGGGAGAGAGAACGACCAGAAAGAUGGAGGGAGAGAGAACGCCAGCCAGAGAGAUGGAGGGAGAGAGGACGGACCACAGUGGGAGGACCCAGACUCCUGGAGCAGCGGGGGGUUCCCCUGGCUCUGCCAAGCCCACCAGGAAGACUCGUAAACCGGAACCGGGAGGAGAUCUAUCAGCCGGGGGCCGAGAGCACCACCAGCACCCAGGGUAAGGAAGUGGGGAAGAGAGACGAAGAAACCGAUACCCCUGGUCCUGGGUCUGGUUCUGUUAGAGAGGAGUCUGUAGUCAGGAGAGAGCCAGGCCCACAAAAGAGACUGGAGGAGAGAGAGGGGGAGGGGAGGGAAGGAGGAGGUGGGCCGGUGGAGGGAGAAGGGAAG
rnacentral:lncRNA from 1 species